CAUCAAUACUGUACAUUCAAAUGUAGCUUGACUAAAGUGGCUGACAAGCUGAUGAAAACAAACAACAAAUACUGAUAAACAAUCUGUUUUAAGAUGUACUGUUUGGAUUAAAAACAAAGAUGUAACCUUAUCAUCAUAUGGUAUAUAUGCCCAACAAUGAAUUAAUACAUACCUCUAACGAUCAGUACCCCUUGGAAUGUGGUCAUAUUAUGAAGGUCAUAGGGUCAUCACCAGGUUACCACAUCAAUUAUCAUCUUGCUAAUGAGGUCAAUACUCAUACAUUAAGGUGAGUCCAUAUUGUUAUGAAGGUCAUAGGGUCAUCACCAGGUUACCACAUCAAUUAUCAUCUUGAUAAUGAGGUCAGUACUCAUACAUUAAGGUGAGUCCAUAUUGUUAUGAAGGUCAUAGGGUCAUCACCAGGUUACCACAUCAAUUAUCAUCUUGCUAAUGAGGUCAGUACUAAUACAUUAAGGUGAGUCCAUAAUUUGUAUUGAAGGUCACGGGGUCAUCACCAGGUUACCACAUUAAUUAUCAUCUUGAUAAGUUUUUUGCUUCUUUUAAGGCAGUAAAUCCAUGGUUAGCUUGCUGAUUUUCGUGCAUAUAUUGGUUAGGGUCAAGGUGCAGUGUGACUAUCAGGCUCAGAUGUCAAGAAACGACGGCCAUCUUGUUACAGGCUCAAUCGACGGUUUUACGAAGAAAU